rnacentral:rRNA from 1 species
UUUCCGUAGGUGAACCUGCGGAAGGAUCAUUUCUGAAGGCUUUUUGCCAAAACCACUGUGAACAGCUUAGACUUCGGUCUUUGCAAUUGCUUGGGUGUCGAAAGGCGCCCAAUCUUUAAAACUUUUAUAUUUGUUCUGAAACAAUGAAAAUUUAAAACUUUCAACAACGGAUCUCUUGGUUCUCGUAUCGAUGAAGAACGCAGCAAAGCGCGAUAGGUAAUGCGAAUUGCAGACGUGAGUCAUUGAAUUUUUGAACGCAUAUUGCGCUAUUAGUUUGUCUAAUAGCAUGCUUGUUGGAGUGAUAAUCUUCCUCUCAACCAUUUUUGGUAUGAGGUCUUGCUCCUUUUAGGAGUUAAAAUCAUGGAAGUGCACACGUUAAUUAACUCUGUGCAGUUAUACACUUUUCAUCCUCCAAUCAAGCAAGGUUACCCGCUGAACUUAAGCAUAUCAAUAAGCGGAGGAA